UACAGGGGGUGCAAACGUUGCUCGGAAUCAUUGGGCGUAAAGCGCACGUAGGCGGUUCGUUAUGUCGGAUGUGAAAGCCCUUGGCUUAACCGAGGAAGUGCAUCCGAAACUGGCGAGCUAGAGUACGAAAGAGGAUCGCGGAAUUCCCGGUGUAGAGGUGAAAUUCGUAGAUAGUCGGGAAGGAACACCGGUGGCGAAGGCGGUUCUCUGGGCCUGUACUGACGCUGAGGAGCGAAGCGUGGGGAGCAAACAGG
rnacentral:rRNA from 1 species